CAGUAGCCACGGGAAUACGAAGGGGGCCAGCGUUGCUCGGAAUUACUGGGCGUAAAGGGAGCGUAGGCGGACAUUUAAGUCAGGGGUGAAAUCCCAGAGCUCAACUCUGGAACUGCCUUUGAUACUGGGUGUCUUGAGUGUGAUAGAGGUAUGUGGAACUCCGAGUGUAGAGGUGAAAUUCGUAGAUAUUCGGAAGAACACCAGUGGCGAAGGCGACAUACUGGAUCAUUACUGACGCUGAGGCUCGAAAGCGUGGGGAGCAAACAGGAUUAGAUACCCAGUAGUCCCUGUCUCUAUACAC
rnacentral:rRNA from 1 species